rnacentral:rRNA from 1 species
GCUACGGGAGGCAGCAGUGAGGAAUAUUGGUCAAUGGACGAGAGUCUGAACCAGCCAUGCCGCGUGCAGGAAGACGGCUCUAUGAGUUGUAAACUGCUUUUGUACAAGGGUAAACCUGAAUACGUGUAUUCAGCUGAAAGUACUGUACGAAUAAGGAUCGGCUAACUCCGUGCCAGCAGCCGCGGUAAUACGGAGGAUCCAAGCGUUAUCCGGAUUUAUUGGGUUUAAAGGGUGCGGAGGCGGAUUGAUAAGUUAGAGGUGAAAUGUCCGAGCCUAACUCGGGAACUGCCUCGAAUACUGUUGAUCGAGAGAGUAGAUGCGGUAGGCGGAAUGUAUGGUGUAGCGGGGAAAUGCUUAGAGAUCAUACAGAACACCGAUUGCGAAGGCAGCUUACCAAUCUAUAUCUGACGUUGAGGCACGAGAGCGUGGGGAGCAAACAGGAUUAGAUACCCUAGUAGU